GAUGAACGCUGGCGGCGUGCCUAAUACAUGCAAGUCGAGCGAACGGACGGGAAGCUUGCUUCUCUGAUGUUAGCGGCGGACGGGUGAGUAACACGUGGAUAACCUACCUAUAAGACUGGGAUAACUUCGGGAAACCGGAGCUAAUACCGGAUAAUAUUUUGAACCGCAUGGUUCAAAAGUGAAAGACGGUCUUGCUGUCACUUAUAGAUGGAUCCGCGCUGCAUUAGCUAGUUGGUAAGGUAACGGCUUACCAAGGCAACGAUGCAUAGCCGACCUGAGAGGGUGAUCGGCCACACUGGACCUGAGACACGGUCCAGACUCCUACGGGAGGCAGCAGUAGGGAAUCUUCCGCAAUGGGCGAAAGCCUGACGGAGCAACGCCGCGUGAGUGAUGAAGGUCUUCGGAUCGUAAAACUCUGUUAUUAGGGAAGAACAUAUGUGUAAGUAACUGUGCACAUCUUGACGGUACCUAAUCAGAAAGCCACGGCUAACUACGUG
rnacentral:rRNA from 1 species